GAUGAAGAGCGCAGCGAAAUGCGAUAAGUAAUGUGAAUUGCAGAAUUCAGUGAAUCAUCGAAUCUUUGAACGCACCUUGCGCCCUUUGGCUAUUCCGAAGGGCAUGCCUGUUUGAGUAUCAUGAACACCUCAACUCUCAUGGCUUGCCAUGAUGAGCUUGGACUUUUGGGGGUCUUGCUGGCCUGUGGUCAGCUCCUCUCAAAUGAAUUAGCCUGCCAGUGUUUGGUGGCAUCACAGGUGUGAUAACUAUCUACGCUUGUGGUUUUCCACCAGGUAACCUUCAGUGAUGAAGGUUCGCUGGGGCUCAUAAACGUCUCUCCUCAGUGAGGACAGCUCUUUGAACGUUUGAUCUCAAAUCAGGUAGGACUACCCGCUGAACUUAAGCAUAUCAAUAAGCGGAGGA
rnacentral:misc_RNA from 1 species